rnacentral:rRNA from 1 species
UACGAAGGAGGCAAGCGUUAUCCGGAAUUAUUGGGCGUAAAGCGUCCGCAGGUGGCACUUCAAGUCUGUCGUCAAAGACUGGGGCUUAACCCCGGAAAGGCGGUGGAAACUGAAGCGCUAGAGUGCGGUAGGGGUAGAGGGAAUUCCCGGUGUAGCGGUGAAAUGCGUAGAGAUCGGGAAGAACAUCGGUGGCGAAAGCGCUCUACUGGACCGCAACUGACACUCAGGGACGAAAGCUAGGGGAGCGAAUGGG